UCCAGGGUGAUGACAAAUCCGUGAGGGUGGA
rnacentral:piRNA from 1 species